rnacentral:rRNA from 1 species
CCUACGGGUGGCAGCAGUGAGGAAUAUUGGUCAAUGGCCGGAAGGCUGAACCAGCCAAGCCGCGUGAGGGAGGAAGGCGCAGAGCGUCGCAGACCUCUUUUGCCGGGGGACAAAAGGCCGGACUCGUCCGGUCCUGAGGGUACCCGGAGAAAAAGCAUCGGCUAACUCCGUGCCAGCAGCCGCGGUAAUACGGAGGAUGCGGGCGUUAUCCGGAUUCAUUUGGGUUAAAGGGUGGGAAGGCGGGCCUUUAAGCCGGCGGUGAAAUCGGGUGGCCAAACCCCGCCGGGCCGUCGGAACUGGGGGCCUUGAGUGCGGCGGAGGCAUGCGGAAUGCGAGGUGUAGGGGUGAAAUGCAUAGAUAUCGCGCAGAACC